rnacentral:rRNA from 1 species
AACGAACGCUGGCGGCAUGCCUAACACAUGCAAGUCGAACGAGACCUUCGGGUCUAGUGGCGCACGGGUGCGUAACGCGUGGGAACCUGCCCUUAGGUUCGGAAUAACUCCCCGAAAGGGGUGCUAAUACCGGAUAAUGUCUUCGGACCAAAGAUUUAUCGCCUUUGGAUGGGCCCGCGUUGGAUUAGCUAGUUGGUAGGGUAAAAGCCUACCAAGGCGACGAUCCAUAGCUGGUCUGAGAGGAUGAUCAGCCACACUGGGACUGAGACACGGCCCAGACUCCUACGGGAAGCAGCAGUGGGGAAUAUUGGACAAUGGGCGAAAGCCUGAUCCAGCAAUGCCGCGUGAGUGAUGGAGGCCUUAGGGUUGUAAAGCUCUUUUACCCGGGAUGAUAAUGACAGUACCGGGAGAAUAAGCUCCGGCUAACUCCGUG